rnacentral:rRNA from 1 species
UUAAAGGGUCCGUAGGCGGGCCAAUAAGUCAGUGGUGAAAUCCUAUCGCUUAACGAUAGAACUGCCAUUGAAACUGUUGGUCUUGAAUUAUUUUGAAGUUGGCGGAAUGAGUAGUGUAGCGGUGAAAUGCAUAGAUAUUACUCAGAACACCGAUUGCGAAGGCAGCUGACUAAGAAUAUAUUGACGCUGAUGGACGAAAGCGUAGGUAGCGAACAGGAUUAGAUACCCUGGUAGUCUACGCAGUAAACGAUGGAUACUCGUUGUCGGGAAAAUUGAGACUCGGUGGCUAAGCGAAAGUGAUAAGUAUCCCACCUGGGGAGUACGAUCGCAGGAUUGAAACUCAAAGGAAUUGACGGGGGCCCGCACAAGCGGUGGAGCAUGUGGUUUAAUUCGAUGAUACGCGAGGAACCUUACCUGGGCUUAAACGUAGAUUGACAGGACUGGAAACAGUUUUUCCUUCGGGCAAUUUACAAGGUGCUGCAUGGUUGUCGUCAGCUCGUGCCGUGAGGUGUCAGGUUAAGUCCUAUAACGAGCGCAACCCCUAUCGAUAGUUGCUAGCAGGUAAUGCUGAGGACUCUAUUGAGACUGCCGGUGCAAACCGUGAGGAAGGUGGGGAUGACGUCAAAUCAUCACGGCCCUUACGUCCAGGGCCACAC